UUUUGCUCCCUGGAAGGAGCCUGCCUUGAAGGACUGAGGACAGACGCCCCAGUCAACAGCACAAUCUACUCCCUGGAGCACCUCCAUCUCACCUGGACCCCCUGGAGCACAGCUGCAGUCCCUGACCACCUUCCUCCUCCUGCUGAAGGACCCUGGGCAAGUCACCUGCCUCUGUUCACGUAACAUUUCUCCUGAGCCCAGAUAGGAUGCUAACAGACUGAUCUCUUCAACCUGUUCAUGGGGUGAAUGAAAAAAACACAUGAA